rnacentral:rRNA from 1 species
GAUUAACGCUGGCGGCAUGCCUAAUACAUGCAAGUCGAACGGAAGCAGCAAUGCUUUAGUGGCGAACGGGUGAGUAACACGUAGGGAACCUACCUAUACGACGAGGAUAACUACUGGAAACGGUAGCUAAAACUGGAUAGGAUCAAUUGAGGCAUCUUGAUUGAUUUAAAGAUCCUUCGGGAUUACGUAGAGAUGGCCCUGCGGCGCAUUAGCUAGUUGGUGAGGUAACGGCCCACCAAGGCGACGAUGCGUAGCUGAGCUGAGAGGCUAAACAGCCACACUGGGACUGAGACACGGCCCAGACUCCUACGGGAGGCAGCAGUAGGGAAUUUUCGGCAAUGGGGGAAACCCUGACCGAGCAAUGCCGCGUGAACGAUGAAGGUCUUCGGAUUGUAAAGUUCUGUGAUUGGGGAAGAAUGGUAUUCUUAGGGAAUGAGGAGUACAUGACGGUACCCGAUUAGAAAGCCCCGGCUAACUAUGUGCCAGCAGCCGCGGU